AUGGCGCGCGGCGGCGUGGCACGCGAGGAGAGCGCGGGCUGAGGUUCGAAUUUGGACGGGUCGGCAGAACGAGCGCGGGCUGGCGACGACCCGGAGGGACGUGUUCCAGUGGCGAUCGUGACGGCUACCGGUCCGCAUAGGAGCCUGUUAUUGGGGUACAGCCGGGCCAGCCCACACACGAGCGGCUACCGUUCCACUCUGGCAACCAUCCGAGGCUCGUCGGGACCAGGGGACGAAUCCGGUGGCUUGACGGUCCGCCCUCUUGGCCGCGCCUGUGGUCCCGCCCGAGAGCUGCCGCCGAGACCGAGUAUAGCGCUGCAGUUCGUGGGUCCGCCAGCAGUGCUGCUGGCGGCGCUCGUCGCCAGCGGGCCAGUCACGCUCUUCCAGCCCAGAGCGGAGAGCGGCCCACCACGGUGCCAGGGAGGCGCGGCAGGUCCACAAGACGACACGCCCGCGGACAUUCAGCUUACGGGAAAAGCAAGAAUUUGUGGAACUGAACCAAAGCUUUUGUUUGACGGCGGCUUACAAGAGUGCGGUGAGCGAUGCAUGGAAUCGUGGCCCGUGAAUAUGCUUGUUGCAAGACCCACAAGCAGAAUCUGGCCACCAUUCAGCAGACAUCCUCAAGCACGCACUGCACAAAGGGAAAAGCGAGCAUUUCAGGAACAGCACCAAAGCUUUUGUUCAGCGACGAUUUCAAUAGAGCGGUGAGCGAUGCACGGAAUCAUGACCCGUGUAUAUGCUUGUUGCAAGACCCACAAGCAGAAUAGGGCCACCAUGCAGCAGACGG
rnacentral:misc_RNA from 1 species